rnacentral:rRNA from 1 species
GCAUAUCAAUAAGCGGAGGAAAAGAAACCAACAGGGAUUGCCUUAGUAAACGGCGAAGUGAAGCGGCAACAGCUCCAAAUUUGAAAUCUGGCUCUUUCAGAGUCCGAGUUGUAAUUUGCAGAGGGCGCUUUGGCGUUGGCAGCGGUCCAAGUUUCCUUGGAACAGGACGUCACAGAGGGUGAGAAUCCCGUACGUGGUCGCUAGUCAUCGCCGUGUAAAGCCCCUUCGACGAGUCGAGUUGUUUGGGAAUGCAGCUCUAAAUGGGAGGUAAAUUUCUUCUAAAGCUAAAUACUGGCCAGAGACCGAUAGCGCACAAGUAGAGUGAUCGAAAGAUGAAAAGCACUUUGGAAAGAGAGUCAAACAGCACGUGAAAUUGUUGAAAGGGAAGCGCUUGCAGCCAGACUUGCCUGUAGUUGCUCAUCCGGGCUUUUGCCCGGUGCACUCUUCUGCGGGCAGGCCAGCAUCAGUUUGGGCGGUUGGAUAAAGGUCUCUGUCAUGUACCUCUCUUCGGGGAGAACUUAUAGGGGAGACGACAUACAACCAGCCUGGACUGAGGUCCGCGCAUUUGCUAGGAUGCUGGCGUAAUGGCUGUAAGCGGCCCGUCUUGAAACACGGACCAAGGAGUCUAACAUCUAUGCGAGUGUUUGGGUGUCAAGCCCGAGCGCGUAAUGAAAGUGAACGGAGGUGGGACCCCGUAAGGGUGCACCAUCGACCGAUCCUGAUGUCUUCGGAUGGAUUUGAGUAAGAGCAUGGCUGUUGGGACCCGAAAGAUGGUGAACUAUGCUUGAAUAGGGUGAAGCCAGAGGAAACUCUGGUGGAGGCUCGCAGCGGUUUCUGACGUGCAAAUCGAUCGUCAAAUUUGGGGCAUAGGGGCGAAAGACUAAUCGAACUAUCUAGUAGCUGGGUUCUGCG